UGAGUUGUGCGUUCAGUACAACGACGCGCUUUGUAUCUUAUAGUUCGUUGCGCAGAGUCGCAGAUAGAUUUUCGGAUCGCCGCUCGCAGCUCACAUGUGUGGAUUGUGGAUUAACUCUAAUUUGUUUUUGAUUGCUGCCCAGGGAACGGCCAUGGGAAGGGGAACGAAACGAAACGAAACCUGAUCACACACAUCGAAGUUGUCAACGCUCAGCGAUAAUUCGAGUGGAUUUUAAUUUGACACCAACCGGAGCAACGGCACACGAUCCAAACAGCAACGUUAUCGAAAGGGAAGGCGAGCAAAGGAGCAAGGGGCAAGUAGCAAGUAGCUAGGAGAGCGAGGACUACGAAAAGGCUCAUUGGGUUAUGCGCUCGUGCCACAUGAAGCAUUAGGCAAACAAAUUUGCCUCUGGCUCCGACAGCGACUCCUGCGACUGCGAGCAAAUGUCGAGGGGUUGUUGAGUUCAUAAGGAAGUUGCGGCGCAUGUGAGGGUCGAGACAAAGCAAGCGACAAGCGAUCCUGCCGAGGACGAGCUAUGCCUAUCGGCCACACCAAUGCCAGCUGAACGCUGAGGGUUAGAGCCACCGAUACACGCGCCCAGCCAGUGGCUGCCCUGGUCGGUCUUAUCUUAAAGCUUACCAGACCAAGCCAGGCCGGGAGGGUGCCGACGAAAACGAGCAGAUGUUCAGAGCUGGAAAACCAGACGAGUCAACAAUUACGCCUUGAGUUCAGUGUAGGGGAGGGGCAGCAGGCUUCCAUUUGCCAUUUGGCGA